CCUACGGGUGGCAGCAGUGAGGAAUAUUGGUCAAUGGACGAGAGUCUGAACCAGCCAAGUAGCGUGAAGGAUGACUGCCCUAUGGGUUGUAAACUUCUUUUAUAUGGGAAUAAAACGUUCCACGUGUGGGAUUUUGUAUGUACCAUAUGAAUAAGGAUCGGCUAACUCCGUGCCAGCAGCCGCGGUAAUACGGAGGAUCCGAGCGUUAUCCGGAUUUAUUGGGUUUAAAGGGAGCGUAGGUGGAUUGUUAAGUCAGUUGUGAAAGUUUGCGGGUCAACCGUAAAAUUGCAGUUGAAACUGGCAGUCUUGAGUACAGUAGAGGUGGGCGGAAUUCGUGGUGUAGCGGUGAAAUGCUUAGAUAUCACGAAGAAAUCCGAUUGCGAAGGCAGUUCACUGGACUGCAACUGACACUGAGGCUCGAAAGUGUGGGUAUCAAACAGGAUUAGAUACCCGAGUAGUC
rnacentral:rRNA from 1 species